rnacentral:lncRNA from 1 species
UUUCAAAUGAACUUUAGUAUUAUUUGGAAAUCGUGGUGAUCUUACAAACAAAUUUAAGAACAAUGACCUCUUAGUAAUAUUGUGUCUUUCUAUCAAAGAUGUCAUCCUCUUUGAGCACAAAGUUCUUUCAUCUUCGUUCUCAGACAAGAUUAUGAAGCUUUCCUGGCUGCCGAGGAGCUCAGCAGACUUGUUUAAAACUGAGACUGGUGACUGAACGAAAAAAAAAUGUGACAGAAACCUGUACUGGGGCCCUUACCUGGGCCAGGCCAGGAUGAGGGAUACAUAGGUCAACAUCCUACGGAGCCUCUCACCAGGAGCUCAGAGCAGAGACCGUCAUUAAGCUUCCAAAGAAAUGAAAUGCCCAAGAAUGCAUCUGGCUAUAAGCAUCAAAGAAGAUAGUUGCAAUUCGUUUGUGCGGAAUGUCCAUGAAGUGGUGACCUACAAACCCAGCCUCCAAGUCCCAGCACCAGCAGUAGUUCAUGAACCGCACAAAACAAGCCCGUAGGAAGUCCCCCAGCAGGAUGGUGAUGUACGUUACCAGCAUGUCGGACACCGUCAG